rnacentral:tRNA from 1 species
GUAGCUCAGUCCCGACGACAUUAAUAUGAUAAAAUAGUGGAAAGUCGGGACUGGGAGAGCGCCUCGUUCGCAACGAGGAGAUCGUCGGUUCGAUCCCGAUCAGCUCCA